GUAGCCUGUUGGGUAGUCGCUUGAGUUAAUCUUAAGAGGAAAGUCCGGGCAGUGAAGGACGACGGCAGUCGCUAACGGCGACCGGGGGAGACCCUAGGGAAAGUGCCACAGAAACGAAACUACCUCUAUUUAUAUAGAGGAAAAGGUGAAACGAGUGAGGUAAAAGCUCACAGUCGUCUACGGUGACGUAGAUGGGAGGUAAACCCUGCCGACUGCAAGGAGGUCUGCAUGCAAAGAGGAGUCCACUCGUAGGCCGAUAACCGCUUGAUUUGUUUGGCAACAAGCAAACUAGAUAGAUGAUUACCCUAGACAGAACCCGGCUUAUAGACAGGCUAUAAGA
rnacentral:RNase_P_RNA from 4 species